GCCAGCAGCAGCCAUCCUGUAACUCCCAGCUGGCAGCCCACUGAAGCUCAGCAGGUGUGAGCCUGGUCAGUACCUGGAUGGGAGACCUCCUGGGAAAAGAACUAAGGUUGCUGCUGGGA
rnacentral:rRNA from 1 species